GGAAUUGUUCGCAAUGGGCGCAAGCCUGACGACGCAACGCCGCGUGGAGGAUGAAGAUCUUCGGGUCGUAAACUCCUGUCGAGCGGGAAGAACGUUUCGUGGAUGAAUAAGCCGCGAAAGUGACGGUACCGCUAAAGGAAGCCCCGGCUAACUCCGUGCCAGCAGCCGCGGUAAUACGGGGGGGGCAAGCGUUGUUCGGAAUUACUGGGCGUAAAGGGCUCGUAGGUGGCCAACUAAGUCAGACGUGAAAUCCCCAGGCUUAACCUGGGAACUGCGUCUGAUACUGGAUGGCUUGGAUCCGGGAGAGGGAUGCGGAAUUCCAGGUGUAGCGGUGAAAUGCGUAGAUAUCUGGAGGAACACCGGUGGCGAAGGCGGCAUCCUGGACCGGUAUUGACGCUGAGGAGCGAAAGCCAGGGGAGCAAA
rnacentral:rRNA from 1 species